rnacentral:tRNA from 2 species
AAGAAAGUGGCAGAGGGGCCAUGCAUUUGACUUGAAAUCAAAGUACGGGGGUUCAAUUCCCUCCUUUCUCG